rnacentral:rRNA from 1 species
UGCAGUCGAGCGCAGUCCUUCGGGACCGAGCGGCGGACGGGUUAGUAACGCGUGGGAAUAUACCCAGAUCUAAGGAAUAGCCUCGGGAAACUGAGAGUAAUACCUUAUACGCCCUUCGGGGGAAAGAUUUAUCGGAUUUGGAUUAGCCCGCGUUAGAUUAGAUAGUUGGUGGGGUAAUGGCCUACCAAGUCUACGAUCUAUAGCUGGUUUUAGAGGAUGAUCAGCAACACUGGGACUGAGACACGGCCCAGACUCCUACGGGAGGCAGCAGUGGGGAAUCUUAGACAAUGGGCGAAAGCCUGAUCUAGCCAUGCCGCGUGUGUGAUGAAGGCCCUAGGGUCGUAAAGCACUUUCGCCAGAGAUGAUAAUGACAGUAUCUGGUAAAGAAACCCCGGCUAACUCCGUGCCAGCAGCCGCGGUAAUACGGAGGGGGUUAGCGUUGUUCGGAAUUACUGGGCGUAAAGCGUACGUAGGCGGAUUAGUAAGUUAGGGGUGAAAUCCCGAGGCUCAACCUCGGAACUGCCUCUAAAACUGCUAGUCUUGAGUUCGAGAGAGGUGAGUGGAAUUCCGAGUGUAGAGGUGAAAUUCGUAGAUAUUCGGAGGAACACCAGUGGCGAAGGCGGCUCA